rnacentral:rRNA from 1 species
CCGGGUGAACUGUGGUUAAGGAACUCGGCAAAUUGCCCCCGUAACUUCGGGAGAAGGGGGGCCAUGCCCGGUGAUCCACCUUGCGUGGUGAGCGGGGUGUGGCCGCAGAUACCAGGGGGAAGCGACUGUUUACUAAAAACACAGGUCCGUGCGAAGUCGUAAGACGCUGUAUACGGACUGACGCCUGCCCGGUGCCGGAACGUUAAGAGGACCGGUCAACCCUCACGGGUGAAGCUGAGAAUCUAAGCGCCGGUAAACGGCGGUGGUAACUAUAACCAUCCUAAGGUAGCGAAAUUCCUUGUCGGGUAAGUUCCGACCUGCACGAAUGGCGUAACGACUUCCCCACUGUCUCAACCACAGACCCGGCGAAAUUGCAGUACGAGUAAAGAUGCUCGUUUCGCGCAGCAGGACGGAAAGACCCCGGGACCUUCACUACAGCUUGGCAUUGGCGUUUGGAGCGUCUUGUGUAGGAUAGGUGGGAGACUGUGAAGCUCACACGCCAGUGUGGGUGGAGUCAUUGGUGAAAUACCACUCUGGUCGUUUCGAGCGUCUAACCCGCACCCGUGAAUCCGGGUGGGGGACAGUGCCUGGUGGGUAGUUUAACUGGGGCGGUUGCCUCCUAAAAGGUAACGGAGGCGCCCAAAGGUUCCCUCAGCCUGGUUGGUAAUCAGGUGGCGAGUGCAAGGGCACAAGGGAGCUUGACUGUGAGACGGACAUGUCGAGCAGGUGCGAAAGCACGGCCUAGUGAUCCGGCGGUGGCAUGUGGAAGCGCCGUCGCUCAACGGCUAAAAGGUACCCCGGGGAUAACAGGCUGAUCUUCCCCAAGAGUCCAUAUCGACGGGAUGGUUUGGCACCUCGAUGUCGGCUCGUCGCAUCCUGGGGCUGGAGUAGGUCCCAAGGGUUGGGCUGUUCGCCCAUUAAAGCGGCACGCGAGCUGGGUUUAGAACGUCGCGAGACAGUUCGGUCCCUAUCCGCUGCGCGCGCAGGAGAUUUGAGAGGGUCUGUCCCUAGUACGAGAGGACCGGGACGGACGAACCUCUGGUGUGCCAGUUGUCAUGCCAAUGGCACGGCUGGUUUGCUACGUUCGGACGGGAUAACCGCUGAAAGCAUCUAAGCGGGAAGCCUUCCUCGAGAUGAGAUCUCCCACCCCCAUGAGGGGUGUAAGGCCCCCAGCUAGACCACUGGGUUGAUAGGCCAGAAAUGGAAGCACCGUAAGGUGUGGAGUUGACUGGUACUAAUAGGCCGAGCGGCUCG